CAAUAGCGUAUAUUAAAGUUGUUGCAGUUAAAAAGCUCGUAGUUGGAUUUCUGGUUGAAGCGACCGGUCGGGCGUUGAUUCGUCUGCACUGGAGUCGGUUUUGGCCAUCCUCUAGGAAAGUGCGUCUGGUAUUAAGUUAUCGGGCGUAUGAUCCUGGUCUUUUACUGUGAAAAAAUUAGAGUGUUUAAAGCAGGCCUUCGCCUUGAAUACAUUAGCAUGGAAUAAUAAGAUAGGACUUUGGUCUAUUUUGUUGGUUUGCAGACCGAAGUAAUGAUUAAUAGGGAUAGUUGGGGGUAUUUAUAUUCCGAUGUCAGAGGCGAAAUUCUUAGAUUUUCGGAAGAUAAACUUAUGCGAAAGCAUUUACCAAGGAUGUUUUCAUUAA
rnacentral:rRNA from 1 species